UACGUAGGGUGCAAGCGUUAAUCGGAAUUACUGGGCGUAAAGCGUGCGCAGGCGGUUUCUUAAGUCAGAUGUGAAAGCCCCGGGCUUAACCUGGGAACUGCGUUUGAAACUGGGAGACUAGAGUGUGGCAGAGGGGGGUGGAAUUCCACGUGUAGCAGUGAAAUGCGUAGAUAUGUGGAGGAACACCGAUGGCGAAGGCAACCCCCUGGGUUAACACUGACGCUCAUGCACGAAAGCGUGGGGAGCAAACAGG
rnacentral:rRNA from 1 species